ACACCUGACACGGGGUGCCGCGCGAGCGGCUGAGAUCACACCCGUCGAACCUGAUCUAGCCAGUACUAGCGAAGGGAUGUCGCUGAUGCGCGAU
rfam:Kocuria sp. SM24M-10 KSP00124, whole genome shotgun sequence.